rnacentral:misc_RNA from 1 species
AUUAGCGCGGCGUUGUCACGUUUCGAGCAUAAAACUAAUGAAAGGGAAGAUGUUUUGGGCCUAAAGGUAAGAGAAUUUCAUAAUUAAUGAACUCAUUUUCAUUCGUUCAAUUUACUAAGUUUCUUAUUUAUUGAGUUUCGCUCGGAAAUUCCAUUGAUAAACGCGUGUGCGAUUAAAAUUGAAAAGAGUGAGCAGUAAUAGGAUGAAUCAUUAUUUAUUAGGCGUCCUGGCACAGAAUCCCCUCAAGCACAAGAUAGGUCACGAGAUAAUUAACAAAAAAAACAUGGAUAAUUAAUAGACAAUAAAAAUAUUAUGAAAAAUAAAAGAGAGAAAAAAUGUGUACAUACAUAUAUAUAUAGAUGUAGAUUUGGGACAUUCCAAUAAAAGACCAUGUCUAUUGUAUU